AAAAGAGAAUAAAAAGAAGAUGGGAAUCUAUCUCAAAGACAGAGCACCUGCCUAGAAUCCCCCAGUGAGGGGCUGGGAUGUGACUCAGUGGUAGAGCCCCUGCCUAGAAUCCUCCAGUGAGGGGCUGGGGUGUGGCUCAGCCUAGAGCAUUUAUUUAAUAUGUUCAAGGCUCUGGAUUCUGUCCCAGCACCAUUUGGUCAAGCAAUCAGGGACAGAAAAAGGAUUCUCCCAGUCUCCAUCCAGCAGUCAUGCUGUCCCUUGUCCAGCUUCCCUAUGUAGAAGGUAGAGCAAUUUGGAGCUGGCCAGCCAGAAAGUCAGCAAAUGUCUGCCUUACUAAUGUUGAUUUUGGAGGACUUUGGUUCAAGGAGACCUUCCCGAAGCCAGAAACAGAAGCUUGUCAUAGCCUUAGAUUUUGUGAAGGAAGCUUGCAUUGGGAUGGUGGGGUGCUGGGGGGGUUAGUCUCUGCUUGUAGCUGCAGAUUUAUGUAAAUACAGGUUGUGGUGCUCAACCUAGCUUUCCUUUCUUUCCCCUCCCCUGCCUGGAACAUAAGGGCAUUAGUGCUGAUGGUUGGCGGAUUCCCUCUGCCUGUCAGUGAGCGCCACUUAAUUCCCAGGCAAAUGUCGACUUAUCUCAUGCAUGUACAGUGGCUUAGGAUCUCUCAUCAGCUUGGAAGCUGUAGCAGGGAGGCAAAGACAGGGCCACAGAGCUGGUUGGCUUUCCCUACCCUAGGCUGUGCUUUCUUCAGCUUGCCUAUCAUGUGCACCCACUGGGAACCACUAGAGAGGGUUCCAGAAAGCCAGGCUGGCCUCAUUAUUGUUGUGACUCUAGAGGGGUCCCCGUCCUUUCAUAAAGUUCAGCUUUCCUAUCUGAGAAAACAGGGUCAGCCCACCUUGGUGGCACAGUCCUGUCAUAUGAACUACUUGGGAACUUGGAGCCGGAGGAUUUAGAAGUUCAAGGCUAGCCUGGGCAACUUAGGGAAACCCUGUCUAAUAAUAAUAAUGAUAAUGAUAAUAAUAAUAAUAAUAAUAAUAAUAAUAAUAAAGUUAGCCAGGGAGGUUGUGGUAUGUGCCUUUAAUCCCAGCACUCAGGCAAGCAGAUAUCUGAGGUCAGCCUGCUCAGAGUGAGUUCCAAGAUAGACAGGGCUACAUAGAGAAACCCUGCCUCAAACCAAACC
rnacentral:lncRNA from 1 species